GUUGUAUCUCAGGUCCCCAGUUGAGCCCCCUUCAGCCUGAGCACCAUGCCAGCCUCAGGGCCAUCCCAAGCUCCAACUGGUCAGCUUCCUUCCAACCUUCCCCACCUGUAUUAGCAUUCACGUCACCCUGCCUUUGUCCAUGCUGUUCCCUCCCCUGGUACUCUCUUCCUCAUCUCCUUUAUUCCCUUCCUUCCCUCCAAACUCAUCUCUUCCUUCUCUUCUUCCUUUAAGUAUCCUCUUUUACCUUCCUGGCACUACUCUAGCUACCGGGGAUAUAAGGGCAGGGCAAGAGGGGGCAGAUCCCAUGCUUUCAAGGAACUAGCCAUCUGUUUGGGAGAGAAUGAACAAAAGAAGCAAGUUAAUGUAGUGCAGUAGAUGAGGUUGAAUUCUACAGAGGAACAGAAAGCAGGAUGGGUUUCCUUUAGGGAGAGGGAAGAGAAAUUUGCGGUUUUUAUAGGAUGGCCAUGGUGAGCCUUUUGGAGAAUGGGACAAAAACUUGAAAGAGGUGAUGAGGUACACUCUGAUGCCAUCUGGGGAAUGUUCCCGAAGGAGGAAGCAGCCAGUGCUGGAGCCCUAAGGUGGGAGCAGGCUUGUUAUGUUUGAGGAACAGGCAGGAGGCCAGGAUGGCUGGUGCAGAGGGCAUGAGCUUGGGGCUUAAAGGAAGACGGAAGGGACUAUGGCUUUUCCUCUGCUACAAUGUCUGCCCGAGGGAGUGGCUUGAGCUGACUCACAGUUUUAUAGUUCUGUCCAAAGGGACCUUGGUGGGAGCAGAGAGCCCAGACCACUCAGGUGAACAUGGAAGAAUGGAAGGAACAUCUGCAACACAGAGAUGGCAUGCACUGGACACAAAGUGGAGAGAGGAAUCUAAGUCUGUGCCUCUCUCCUUGGGCUCUGUCUCUGGGCCCUGUCUCUGGGCCUCCCCCUGCACCCUCCCUGCUCAGCCCUGUCAGCCAGGCCCAGGCCCCCCAGGACGCGGGAUCCCCAGCAGCCACCGGCACGUGCCAAUCUUCGCCCUGGCGGAGGCGUCUCCAUGGGCCGCGGGCCCCGUGGCGCGCCUCCUGCCCGCGUAAUGCGCUCUAAUAUUUAUUUACAUGCCUUUCAGACUAUUAUUUAUUAAAGUAUCGCUG
rnacentral:lncRNA from 1 species